rnacentral:tRNA from 2 species
CCCGUUGGUCAAGCGGUUAAGACACCGCCCUUUCACGGCGGUAACACGGGUUCGAAUCCCGUACGGG